GCCUGAGUGGCUCAGUCGGCUGAUCCUCUGACUUCCACUCAGGUCAUGAUCUCGUGGUUUGUGGGUUCGAGCCCCAUGUCGGGCU
rnacentral:tRNA from 1 species